CCCCCCCCCCCCCCCCCCCCCCCCCCCCCCCCCCCCCCCCCCCCCCCCCCCCCCCCGGUUUGGGUGCUCAGGUUUGGGAUGUUUUGGGUGUUUGAGUUUGGGUGCUGGGGUUUGGAAUGUUUUUUUUGGGUGCUCAGGUUUGGGAUGAGUUUGGGGGCUCAGGUUUGGGAUGAGUUUGGGUGCUCAGGUUUGGGAUGAGUUUGGGGGCUCAGGUUUGGGAUGAGUUUGGGUGCUCAGGUUUGGGAUGAGUUUGGGGGCUCAGGUUUGGGAUGAGUUUGGGUGCUCAGGUGUGGGAUGGGUUUGGGUGCUCAGGUUUGGGUGCUUGGGUUUUGGAUAUUUUUGAUGCUCGGGUUUGGGAUGUUUUUAGGUGCUCGGGAUCGGGAUGAGUUUGGGUGCUGGGGUUUGGGAUAUUUUCGGUGCUCAGGGGUUGGGAUGGGUUUGGGCGCUCAGAUUCGGGAUGGGUUUGGCUGCUCAGAUUUGGGAUGUUUUGGGUGCUCAGGUGUGGGAUGUUUUUGGGUGCUGAGGUUUGGGUGCUCAGGUUUGGGAUGUUUUGGGUGCUGGGGUUUGGGAUGUUUUGGGUGCUCAGGUGUGGGAUGGGUUUGGGUGCUCAGGUUUGGGUGCUUGGGUUUUGGAUAUUUUUGUUGCUUGGGUUUGGGAUGUUUUUGGGUGCUUGGGAUCGGGAUGAGUUUGGGUGCUCAAGUUUAGGAUACUUUCGGUGCUUGGGGUUGGGAUGGUAUGAGUUUGGGGGCUCAGGUUUGGGAUGAGUUUGGGUGCUCAGGUUUGGGAUGAGUUUGGGGGCUCAGGUUUGGGAUGAGUUUGGGUGCUCAGGUUUGGGAUGAGUUUGGGGGCUCAGGUUUGGGAUGAGUUUGGGUGCUCAGGUUUGGGAUGAGUUUGGGGGCUCAGGUUUGGGAUGAGUUUGGGUGCUCAGGUGUGGGAUGGGUUUGGGUGCUCAGGUUUGGGUGCUUGGGUUUUGGAUAUUUUUGAUGCUCAGGUUUAGGAUGUUUUUAGGUGCUCGGGAUCGGGAUGAGUUUGGGUGCUCAGGUUUGGGGUGGGUUUGGGUGCUCAGGUUUGGGAUGAGUUUGGGGGCUCAGGUUUGGGAUGUGUUUGGGUGAGGGUUUGGGAUGUUUUUUGGAUGCCCAGGUUUGGGAUAUUCUCAGUGCUCGGAUUUGAGAUGGUUUCAGAUGCUCGGGUCUGGGAUGAGUUUGGGUGUUUGGGUUUGGGCUGUUUUCGAUACUGGGGUUUGGGAUGGUUUUGGGUGCUCAGGUUUGGGGUGGGUUUGGGUGCUCAGAUUUGGGGUGGGUUUGGGUACUCAGGUUUGGGAUGAGUUUAGGUGCUUGGAUUUGGGAGAUUUUGGGUGCUCAGGUUUGGGAUGAUUUUGGAUGCUCAGAUUUGGGAUGUUUUGGGUGCUCAGAUUUGGGAUGUUUUUGGUUUCCUCCAGCACUGAUCAUCCAAAGCACUUCCCUGCCUGUCCUGAAGCUCCCACUGCCCUUCCCCUCCCACCCUCCCUCUGCUGAUUUUCCUCCAAACCCAAAUACUUGGGGAUAUUCCUCCACCCAGCACCAUUUAUCUCAUGGAAAUCUGACCCACUUCCCUCUUACCUUGUGUUUCCU
rnacentral:lncRNA from 12 species